CUAACAUGUAUACUUUGCAAAAUAAUGGAGCAUAUCAUAGCUAGUCAAGUAAUGGAACAUCUCGAAAAAAACAAUAUUUUAUAUGAUUUACAACAUGGUUUCCGAUCAAAACUCUCUUGUGAGACACAAUUACUAUCUUUCAUUCAGGACCUUGCAAGAGACAACAACAUUAACAUACAAACUGAUGUCGUUGUGAUGGACUUUGCCAAAGCUUUUGACAAAGUCCCUCACAAAAGGUUACUUUACAAAUUAAAAUACUAC
rnacentral:lncRNA from 1 species